rnacentral:rRNA from 1 species
UAGGGAAUCUUCCGCAAUGGACGCAAGUCUGACGGAGCAACGCCGCGUGAGUGAAGAAGGAUUUCGGUUCGUAAAACUCUGUUGUUAGAGAAGAACAGCGCAUAGAGUAACUGUUAUGCGUGUGACGGUAUCUAACCAGAAAGCCACGGCUAACUACGUGCCAGCAGCCGCGGUAAUACGUAGGUGGCAAGCGUUGUCCGGAUUUAUUGGGCGUAAAGCGAGCGCAGGCGGUUAGAAAAGUCUGAAGUGAAAGGCAGUGGCUCAACCAUUGUAGGCUUUGGAAACUGUUUAACUUGAGUGCAGAAGAGGAGAGUGGAAUUCCAUGUGUAGCGGUGAAAUGCGUAGAUAUAUGGAGGAACACCAGUGGCGAAGGCGACUCUCUGGUCUGUAACUGACGCUGAGGCUCGCAAGCGUGGGUAGCAAACAGG